UUGUAGUGUUGUGGCAUGCGGUUAUAUGAAGUAUUAAUAGUGGUUGAUUUUAUUGUUAUUGACGAGCCAUUUUAAUCCGGUGAUGGUUAAUCGAUCUCUCAUCAACCAACAAGUUUAGGCCGGUGAUUUCACCUUCAAUGGGAAUAAUAUUUAUGCACUAAUAAGUUGGGGUAAUAUAUGCGGAUACCCCACAUUUCAGAAGCAAAAUAGUAGAGAUGAUGCACUGGCACAACAACUGGCUUAUUUUGAUUAUGAGUUCUAAAAUGGUGAUCCUGACCAUCUUAGGAUUAUUGUAGUUAUGCCAAGUCAACCCUGGAUUGAACCUGCAACAUUGAAACUUAAGCAUAGGAUCGGGUUUGGACCGUUUCGUGAUGUCUGGUUAGCAACACAACACAAGUCAUCUGAAGAAUAUGACUUAUGCAUAAAAACCUGAGGUUGCUACUGAGUUUUACAAUGGCAGUUAUUGCUUUGAAGUAUAUUGACCCCAUAUCAGGGAGGUAACUUCGUUUUAAAGGGAAAGCAUAUAAUAUCCACCCCCAUCAAGAUCAUUGUAUAAUUUUCCUUUGAUUUGCCUAUAAGAAGUGGC